CACACACACACAGACAUACUGACAUACACACACACAGGCAUACUGACAUACACACAGACAGACAUACUGACACACACACACACACACACACAGACAUACUGACAUACAAACACAGAGACAUACUGACAUACACACACAGACAUACACACACACAGACAUACUGACAUACACACACAUACACAGACAUACUGACAUACACACACACACACACACAUAC